CGGCAAGUCUCAUACGACCAGCUCCUGUUUAACUCCCCCAGGAUCGGAAGGUAGCAAGGGUAAAUAGUCGUAGCGGUGCGAUAUGAGUAGCUUGCCAUUU
rnacentral:SRP_RNA from 1 species